GAUGAAGAACGUAGCGAAAUGCGAUAAGUAAUGUGAAUUGCAGAGUUCAGUGAAUCAUCGAAUCUUUGAACGCACAUUGCGCCCGCCAGCAUUCUGGCGGGCAUGCCUGUUCGAGCGUCAUUUCAACCCUCGAGCCCCCCCGGGGGCCUCGGUGUUGGGGGACGGCACACCAGCCGCCCCCGAAAUGCAGUGGCGACCCCGCCGCAGCCUCCCCUGCGAAGUAGCACACACCUCGCACCGGAGCGCGGAGGCGGUCACGCCGUAAAACGCCCAACUUUCUUAGAGUUGACCUCGGAUCAGGUAGGAAUACCCGCUGAACUUAAGCAUAUCAAUAAGCGGAGGA
rnacentral:misc_RNA from 1 species